rnacentral:rRNA from 1 species
AUUGAACGCUGGCGGCAGGCCUAACACAUGCAAGUCGAACGAGUGGCGGACGGGUGAGUAAUGUCUGGGAAACUGCCUGGUGGAGGGGGAUAACUACUGGAAACGGUAGCUAAUACCGCAUACCAUCAGAUGUGCCCAGAUGGGAUUAGCUUGUUGGUGGGGUAACGGCUCACCAAGGCGACGAUCCCUAGCUGGUCUGAGAGGAUGACCAGCGACGCGGGAACUGAGACACGGUGCAGGCUCGUACGGGAGGCGGCAGGGGGGAAUAUGGCACUGUGGGCGCAAGCCUGAUGCAGCCAUGCCGCGUGUAGGAGGAGGGCCGUCGGGUUGUAAAGUACAUUCAGCGGGGAGGCGUUACCCGCAGAAGAAGCACCGGCUAACUCCAUGCCAGCCGCCGCGGUAAUAC